rnacentral:SRP_RNA from 4 species
GGUGGCCCUGCCGGUCCCUCGCAACGCUAGAUCGAAAACCCCGCCAGGGCCGGAAGGCAGCAACGGUAUUGAUUGAUGCGGGUGCCGAGAUCAACCGGUGGGGCCAUC